GUAAACCCAAGGUUUCCAGGGGAAGGUUCGUCCGCCCUGGGUUAGUCGGGACCUAAGCUGAGGCCGAAAGGCGUAGGGGAUGGACAACAGGUUGAUAUUCCUGUACUACCGAUAACCGUUUGAGAGAGGGGAUGACACAGUAGGAUAAGCUAAGCACACUGUUGGUUAUGUGUGCCCAAGCAUUGAGGCAGUCAAAGUAGGCAAA
rnacentral:rRNA from 1 species